GACGAACCGUGCAAACGUUGUUCGGAAUCACUGGGCUUAAAGGGCGCGUAGGCGGCUUCCCAAGUCCGGGGUGAAAUCUUUCGGCUUAACCGGAAAAGUGCCUUGGAUACUGGGAGGCUCGAGGGGGGUAGGGGCAAGCGGAACUUCCGGUGGAGCGGUGAAAUGCGUAGAUAUCAGGAGGAACACCCAUGGCGAAGGCAGUUCACUGGCAGUCUCCUGACGCUGAGGCGCGAAAGCGUGGGGAGCAAACGGG
rnacentral:rRNA from 1 species